rnacentral:sRNA from 1 species
UCCGUAGCCAUUUUGGCUCAGU